rnacentral:lncRNA from 1 species
UUUGAGGGACUAAAUCACAAUUUUACCAAAUUAAGUGGUGACUCAAGGAUGGAAUUUUAAAAGAUCAUUAGGGGCAAAAUGGUCAAUUAGAAGAGAGAGAAAUCUAGAAGAUAAUGAUGAUGUUGGAGAUAUUUUAGAUUAAUAAAUAAAUAAGUAUUAGUUUAUUAAUAUUUUAAUUUGAUUUUUUUAAAUGAUAUUAUUUUAUUAUUAUUAAUUUAUUUAGUAUAUAUAUGUGUGGAAAGAAGGAGGAUGAAAAGCCAGCCAUUCCCC